GUCCACGCUGUAAACGAUGGGUACUAGGUUUGGUGGGUCUUGACCCCCGCCGAGCCGGAGCUAACGCACUAAGUACCCCGCCUGGGAAGUACGGUCGCAAGAUUAAAACUCAAAGGAAUUGACGGGGACCCGCACAAGCGGUGGAUGAUGUGGUUUAAUUCGAUGCAACGCGAAAAACCUUACCUACCCUUGACAUGUCAAGAAUCUUGCAGAGAUGUGAGAGUGCUCGAAAGAGAACUUGAACACAGGUGCUGCAUGGCCGUCGU
rnacentral:rRNA from 1 species